UAGGGAAUCUUCCACAAUGGACGCAAGUCUGAUGGAGCAACGCCGCGUGAGUGAAGAAGGCUUUCGGGUCGUAAAACUCUGUUAUUGAAGAAGAACGUGUGUGACAGUAACUGGUCAUGCAGUGACGGUAUUCAAUCAGAAAGUCACGGCUAACUACGUGCCAGCAGCCGCGGUAAUACGUAGGUGGCAAGCGUUGUCCAGAUUUAUUGGGCGUAAAGCGAGUGCAGGCGGUCUUUUAAGUCUGAUGUGAAAGCCUUCGGCUUAACCGAAGAAGGGCAUCGGAAACUGGGAGACUUGAGUGCAGAAGAGGAGAGUGGAACUCCAUGUGUAGCGGUGAAAUGCGUAGAUAUAUGGAG
rnacentral:rRNA from 1 species